GGGAAAGCCAGGCGCUGAGCCCUGGGGAGCAGCUGCCCGAGGCCCGAGCUGGUCAGCGCUCAGAGCUCCCUGCGGUCCCUGCCCACACCGUCUCCUCUUUACUGUCAGGGCCCAGGCAGGUCUUGGGAAACUCCAGUAGCUGCUGGGGGUAAACCAGGUAGCCAGGGCUAGAAGCGGCCAUCGGGAAGAACAGCCUGCCACCUGAACACGGGGUAGAAAGCAGAGGCCACCGCCUGCCACGAGCAGCAUGGCCACCUCCGGCUGGCCGAAACUGUCCUGUCCACCCCAUUGCUGCUCAAGGAGGAGGCUCACCUGGUGACAGGCUGUAAGCGUGUCAGCAGUGUUCCUGGGCGUCCAUGGGAACCCAAGCCCCAGGGUUCCGCUCCCACCUGACGGGCCUUGGCUCCUCCUGGAGCUGGCUCUCAGGCAGCAGCUUCAGCUGUCCCAGCUGCAGGGAGGCCAAGGGGAGACGGUAGUGGGGGCAGGUGGCGGCAGCCUCAUCCUCUCCCCUGGGCUCAGGACUGUAAAGACGCAGGAUGCAAAUGGGCCUCAGGAUCCUGCCCAGUCACCCAGGUGUGACCAGGUCAGCUUCCAGGGGGAGAAACAGGCUGCUAAUGAGCACUGGACUCCUGCUGGAGCCACUGUGAGGACAGACAACGUAGAAUCCAUGGCUGCAGCCACAGAAAUAAACGGAUCGUGGCC
ensembl:lncRNA